ACCCAAAGGAGUUUCAGAGCAGUUUACAAUCUCCUUUCCCUUCCCCUUCUCAUAACAGACACCCUGUGAGGUAGUAGUAGAAGAAGAGAUUGGAUUUAUACCCCGCCCUUCACUACCCAAAGGAGUCUCAGAGCAGUUUACAAUCUCCUUUCCCUUCCCCUCCCCACAACAGACACCCUGUGAGGUAAAAGAAGAAGAGAUUGGAUUUAUACCCCACCCUUCACUCAGAGUCUCAGAGCAGUUUACAUUCUCCUUCCCCUUCCCACAACAGACACCCUGUCA